rnacentral:rRNA from 1 species
UGGGGAAUAUUGCACAAUGGGGGAAACCCUGAUGCAGCGACGCCGCGUGAGUGAAGAAGUAUUUCGGUAUGUAAAGCUCUAUCAGCAGGGAAGAAAAUGACGGUACCUGACUAAGAAGCCCCGGCUAACUACGUGCCAGCAGCCGCGGUAAUACGUAGGGGGCAAGCGUUAUCCGGAUUUACUGGGUGUAAAGGGAGCGUAGACGGCCAGACAAGUCAGAAGUGAAAACCCGCGGCUCAACUGCGGGAGUGCUUUUGAAACUGUUUGACUGGAGUGCAGGAGAGGUAAGUGGAAUUCCUAGUGUAGCGGUGAAAUGCGUAGAUAUUAGGAGGAACACCAGUGGCGAAGGCGGCUUACUGGACUGUAACUGACGUUGAGGCUCGAAAGCGUGGGGAGCAAACAGG